AUUGAACGCUGGCGGCAGGCCUAACACAUGCAAGUCGAACGGUAACAGGAAGCAGCUUGCUGCUUCGCUGACGAGUGGCGGACGGGUGAGUAAUGUCUGGGAAACUGCCUGAUGGAGGGGGAUAACUACUGGAAACGGUAGCUAAUACCGCAUAACGUCGCAAGACCAAAGAUGGGGACCUUAGGGCCUCUUGCCAUCGGAUGUGCCCAGAUGGGAUUAGCUAGUAGGUGGGGUAACGGCUCACCUAGUCGACGAUCCCUAGCUGGUCUGAGAGGAUGACCAGCCACACUGGAACUGAGACACGGUCCAGACUCCUACGGGAGGCAGCAGUGGGGAAUAUUGCACAAUGGGCGCAAGCCUGAUGCAGCCAUGCCGCGUGUGUGAAGAAGGCCUUCGGGUUGUAAAGUACUUUCAGCGGGGAGGAAGGGAGUAAUGUUAAUACCUUUGCUCAUUGACGUUACCCGAAGAAGAAGCACCGGCUAACUCCGUG
rnacentral:rRNA from 1 species